GACGAACGCUGGCGGCGUGCUUAACACAUGCAAGUCGAACGGAAAGGCCCUGCUUUUGUGGGGUGCUCGAGUGGCGAACGGGUGAGUAACACGUGAGUAACCUGCCCUUGACUUUGGGAUAACUUCAGGAAACUGGGGCUAAUACCGGAUAGGAGCUCCUGCUGCAUGGUGGGGGUUGGAAAGUUUCGGCGGUUGGGGAUGGACUCGCGGCUUAUCAGCUUGUUGGUGGGGUAGUGGCUUACCAAGGCUUUGACGGGUAGCCGGCCUGAGAGGGUGACCGGCCACAUUGGGACUGCGAUACGGCCCAGACUCCUACGGGAGGCAGCAGUGGGGAAUAUUGCACAAUGAGCGGAAGCCUGAUGCAGCAACGCCGCGUGCGGGAUGACGGCCUUCGGGUUGUAAACCGCUUUCGCCUGUGACGAAGCGUGAGUGACGGUAAUGGGUAAAGAAGCACCGGCUAACUACGUG
rnacentral:rRNA from 1 species